ACCGAGGCCAACGAUCGAGCCAGCUUGCUGGUGAAGUGACUGAACGAGGUUCCAGGAAAAGCCACUAAGCUUCAGCUAUACACGACCGUACCGCAAACCGACACUGGUGCGCGAGAUGAGUAUUCUAAGGCGCUUGAGAGAACUCAGGAGAAGGAACUCGGCAAAUUGACACCGUAACUUCGGAAGAAGGUGUGCCCUAUUAGUGUGAAGUGAACAACGGAGCAUGAAUGGGUUGCAAAAAAUCGGUGGCUGCGACUGUUUAUUAAAAACACAGCACUCUGCAAACACGAAAGUGGACGUAUAGGGUGUGACGCCUGCCCGGUGCUGGAAGAUUAAAUGAUGGGGUGCAAGCUCUUGAUUGAAGUCCCAGUAAACGGCGGCCGUAACAAUAACGGUCCUAAGGUAGCGAAAUUCCUUGUCGGGUAAGUUCCGACCUGCACGAAUGGCGUAACGAUGGCCACACUGUCUCCUCCUGAGACUCAGCGAAGUUGAAAUGUUUGUGAUGAUGCAAUCUCCCCGCGGAAAGACGGAAAGACCCCAUGAACCUUUACUGUAGCUUUGUAUUGGACUUUGAACAGAUCUGUGUAGGAUAGGUGGGAGGCUUUGAAGCAGGGUCGCUAGAUCUUGUGGAGCCAACGUUGAAAUACCACCCUGGUGUGUUUGAGGUUCUAACCUAGGUCCAUUAUCUGGAUCGGGGACAGUGCAUGGUAGGCAGUUUGACUGGGGCGGUCUCCUCCCAAAGCGUAACGGAGGAGUUCGAAGGUACGCUAGUUACGGUCGGACAUCGUGACGAUAGUGCAAUGGCAUAAGCGUGCUUAACUGCGAGACUGACAAGUCGGGCAGAUGCGAAAGCAGGACAUAGUGAUCCGGUGGUUCUGUAUGGAAGGGCCAUCGCUCAACGGAUAAAAGGUACUCUGGGGAUAACAGGCUGAUACCGCCCAAGAGUUCAUAUCGACGGCGGUGUUUGGCACCUCGAUGUCGGCUCAUCUCAUCCUGGGGCUGUAGCCGGUCCCAAGGGUAUGGCUGUUCGCCAUUUAAAGAGGUACGUGAGCUGGGUUUAAAACGUCGUGAGACAGUUUGGUCCCUAUCUUCCGUGGGCGCUGCAGAUUUGAGGAAGCCUGCUCCUAGUACGAGAGGACCGGAGUGGACACACCUCUGGUGUAUCGGUUGUCACGCCAGUGGCAUUGCCGAGUAGCUAAGUGUGGAAGAGAUAACCGCUGAAAGCAUCUAAGCGGGAAACUCGUUUCAAGAUGAGAUCUGCCGGGGCCUUGAGCCCCCUGAAGAGUCGUUCAAGACCAGGACGUUGAUAGGUCAGGUGUGGAAGCGCAGUAAUGCGUUAAGCUAACUGAUACUAAUUGCUCGUGCGGCUUGACCCC
rnacentral:rRNA from 1 species